AACGAACGCUGGCGGCAGGCUUAACACAUGCAAGUCGAGCGCAUCCUUCGGGGUGAGCGGCAGACGGGUGAGUAACGCGUGGGAACGUACCCUUUCCUACGGAAUAGCUCCGGGAAACUGGAAUUAAUACCGUAUACGCCCUUAGGGGGAAAGAUUUAUCGGGGAAGGAUCGGCCCGCGUUGGAUUAGCUAGUUGGUGGGGUAAAGGCCUACCAAGGCGACGAUCCAUAGCUGGUCUGAGAGGAUGAUCAGCCUCAUUGGGACUGAGACACGGCCCAAACUCCUACGGGAGGCAGCAGUGGGGAAUAUUGGACAAUGGGCGCAAGCCUGAUCCAGCCAUGCCGCGUGAGUGAUGAAGGCCUUAGGGUUGUAAAGCUCUUUCAGUAGGGAAGAUAAUGACGGUACCUACAGAAAAAGCCCCGGCUAACUUCGUGCCAGCCGCCGCGGUAA
rnacentral:rRNA from 1 species